rnacentral:rRNA from 1 species
AUUGAACGCUGGCGGCAGGCUUAACACAUGCAAGUCGAGCGAGCGGCGGACGGGUGAGUAAUGUCUGGGAAACUGCCUGAUGGAGGGGGAUAACUUCCGGAAACGGUCGCUAAUACCGCAUACCAUCAGAUGUGCCCAGAUGGGCUUAGCUAGUUGGUGGGGUAAGGGCUCACCUAGGCGACGAUCCCUAGCUGGUCUGAGAGGAUGACCAGCCACACUGGAACUGAGACACGGUCCAGACUCCUACGGGAGGCAGCAGUGGGGAAUAUUGCACAAUGGGCGCAAGCCUGAUGCAGCCAGGCCGCGGGUGUGAAGAAGGCCUUCGGGUUGUAAAGCACUUUCAGCGGGGAGGCGUUACUAGCAGAAGAAGCACCGGCUAACUCCGUGCCAGCAGCCGCGGUAAUAC